GACGGGUGAGUAACACGUGGAUAACCUACCUAUAAGACUGGGAUAACUUCGGGAAACCGGAGCUAAUACCGGAUAACAUAUUGAACCGCAUGGUUCAAUAGUGAAAGGCGGCUUUGCUGUCACUUAUAGAUGGAUCCGCGCCGUAUUAGCUAGUUGGUAAGGUAACGGCUUACCAAGGCAACGAUACGUAGCCGACCUGAGAGGGUGAUCGGCCACACUGGAACUGAGACACGGUCCAGACUCCUACGGGAGGCAGCAGUAGGGAAUCUUCCGCAAUGGGCGAAAGCCUGACGGAGCAACGCCGCGUGAGUGAUGAAGGUCUUCGGAUCGUAAAACUCUGUUAUCAGGGAAGAACAAAUGUGUAAGUAACUGUGCACAUCUUGACGGUACCUGAUCAGAAAGCCACGGCUAACUACGUGCCAGCAGCCGCGGUAAUACGUAGGUGGCAAGCGUUAUCCGGAAUUAUUGGGCGUAAAGCGCGCGUAGGCGGUUUUUUAAGUCUGAUGUGAAAGCCCACGGCUCAACCGUGGAGGGUCAUUGGAAACUGGAAUACUUGAGUGCAGAAGAGGAAAGUGGAAUUCCAUGUGUAGCGGUGAAAUGCGCAGAGAUAUGGAGGAACACCAGUGGCGAAGGCGACUUUCUGGUCUGUAACUGACGCUGAUGUGCGAAAGCGUGGGGAUCAAACAGGAUUAGAUACCCUGGUAGUCCACGCCGUAAACGAUGAGUGCUAAGUGUUACGGGGUUUCCGCCCCUUAGUGCUGCAGCUAACGCAUUAAGCACUCCGCCUGGGGAGUACGACCGCAAGGUUGAAACUCAAAGG
rnacentral:rRNA from 1 species